rnacentral:rRNA from 1 species
GACGAACGCUGGCGGCGUGCUUAACACAUGCAAGUCGAACGAUGAAGCCGGAGCUUGCUCCGGUGGAUUAGUGGCGAACGGGUGAGUAACACGUGAGCAAUCUGCCCUUGACUCUGGGAUAACUGCGGGAAACUGUAGCUAAUACCGGAUACGACACCUUGGGGCAUCCCAGGGUGUGGAAAGAAUUUCGGUCAAGGAUGAGCUCGCGGCCUAUCAGCUAGUUGGUGAGGUAAUGGCUCACCAAGGCGACGACGGGUAGCCGGCCUGAGAAGGUGACCGGCCACACUGGAACGGAGACACGGUCCAGACUCCUACGGGAGGCAGCAGUGGGGAAUAUUGCACAAUGGGCGAAAGCCUGAUGCAGCAACGCCGCGUGAGGGAUGAAGGCCUUCGGGUUGUAAACCUCUUUUAGCAGGGAAGAAGCGAAAGUGACGGUACCUGCAGAAAGAGCACCGGCUAACUACGUGCCAGCCGCCGCCGUAA